rnacentral:rRNA from 1 species
CCCCGGCGCCACGAGUGGCAAUCUUAUAUUGGGCCUAAAGCAUUCGUAGCAGGUUUGAAAAAUCCCUUGUGAAAUUGUUGAACUCAAUACAACAGCGUGCAGGGGACACUUUCAGACUAGAGACUGGGAGGAGUUGGGGGUAUGCCUGGGGGAGCGGUUAAAUGCGAUAAUCCUAGGUAGACCACCUGUGGCGAAGGCGCCCAACUAGAACAGUUCUGACUGUGAGGGAUGAAAGCUAGGGUAGC